UUCUCGGUAGUGUAACGGUUUUAGCACGGCUGAUUCUGGUUCAGUCAAUCAGGGUUCGAUUCCCUGCCGAGAAG
rnacentral:tRNA from 1 species